rnacentral:rRNA from 1 species
CACGUAGGCACCAAGCGUUGUCCGGAUUUAUUGGGCGUAAAGAGCUCGUAGGCGGUUCGGUAAGUCGGGUGUGAAAACUUUGGGCUCAACCCAAAGCCUGCACCCGAUACUGCUGUGACUCGAGUCCGGUAGGGGAGUGGGGAAUUCCUGGUGUAGCGGUGAAAUGCGCAGAUAUCAGGAAGAACACCCGUGGCGAAGGCGGCUCUCUGGGACGGUACUGACGCUGAGACGCGAAAAGCGUGGGGGAGCGAACAGG